UACGUAGGGGGCAAGCGUUGUCCGGAAUCAUUGGGCGUAAAGAGCUCGUAGGCGGUUUGUCGCGUCUGCUGUGAAAACUCAGGGCUUAACUCUGAGCUUGCAGUGGGUACGGGCAGACUAGAGUGCGGUAGGGGAGACUGGAAUUCCACGUGUAGCGGUGAAAUGCGUAGAGAUGCGGAGGAACACCGAUGGCGAAGGCACCCCCCUGGGCUAACACUGA
rnacentral:rRNA from 1 species